AUCAGUCUGCAGCUCGAUACCGAGCAGAUCGUAAACACCAUAGAGAUAUUUCCGAAAGACCAUACACGUCCAGGAUCACGAUAGAAAACAGUUUCGAGCAUGGAGUUCCUACGCACCAGAUCAUUAGCAUAUCUCAUAGGUGCAGUAGAGUUUGCAGACAACAUCAGGCUAAAUAUUCUGGACACCUUGCAUCCUUUCAAACCAUCCAAUUCAUCUUCCUGGAGCCAACUUGAAGGAAA
rnacentral:lncRNA from 1 species